AGUCAUUUGUCACUUUUCUCUUCCUCCCGACAGACUUUCACACUGAAAUAAGCAGACUCCAGCGAGGACAUUCCUAACUAGGCCCCUAAAAUGACACAUCCAACUGAUGAAUACUACAGCAAGUUGGCAGAAGAUCCAAAGCCACAAUCAAGUGACUCCUUUGUCUGAAACUUUAUCAUGCAAACACCCUCACCCGCCCUGGGUGCAUUGCCCCUGCUGUCACGUCCAAGCUUAAAGGAGGCGCAAAUGCAGGAGGCUCCACCCACCAACGCUCACGAAGGGAGACUGGGAACCAAAAACAAAGCGUCGUCACCAAAUGCAGGCAGAGAAACAUGAAGUGAUCCGGUUAGGAGGACUUUUGACUCGCCCGUGUGCUGCUGUCGCCUGACGGGAGCGCUCUGCAGAGAGGCAAAUUAUCAAGCCGCCAACAAGCAGCGCAAGGCCGGCGGCUUGGCUACAAAGAGCAGAAACGGCUUCUGCCUUUCUUACGAUGGUCGCCCUGCCCUGCCUGGAGAGCGUCUGGAUGAAAGAGCUCAGUCGGUGAUUGGGUGAGUCCGUUUUCUAAUAAGCUUUGCAAGGAAGCUCGAAAUGGGACGCAAGGUUGGAAACAUCACAGUUCACGCCUCACACAAUUGUUGGAUAGAAUUUUCAGGAGGAUAGUCGAAUAUUGAAAUAUUCAAUAGCUGGAGCCAUUAUGAACAUGAUUUGCACCCACUGAGCUGGACAAGAGCUGGGGCGACCGCUCGGAGGCACUGCUCUGAAGAUUUCUUAAUCAACCAUCUCAGAGGG